AUUGAGAUAUCAUGUGGGUAUCU
rnacentral:snRNA from 1 species